rnacentral:rRNA from 1 species
AUUGAACGCUGGCGGCAUGCCUUACACAUGCAAGUCGAACGGUAGAGGGGGCAACCCCUUGAGAGUGGCGAACGGGUGAGUAAUAUAUCGGAACGUGCCCAGUCGUGGGGAUAACGUAGCGAAAGUUACGCUAAUACCGCAUACGAUCUAAGGAUGAAAGCGGGGGACUCGCAAGAGCCUCGCGCGAUUGGAGCGGCCGAUAUCAGAUUAGGUAGUUGGUGGGGUAAAGGCUCACCAAGCCAACGAUCUGUAGCUGGUCUGAGAGGACGACCAGCCACACUGGAACUGAGACACGGUCCAGACUCCUACGGGAGGCAGCAGUGGGGAAUUUUGGACAAUGGACGCAAGUCUGAUCCAGCCAUUCCGCGUGCAGGAUGAAGGCCCUCGGGUUGUAAACUGCUUUUGUACGGAACGAAACGGUGAGCUCUAAUACAGUUUGCUAAUGACGGUACCGUAAGAAUAAGCACCGGCUAACUACGUGCCAGCAGCCGCGGUAA